UUACAUUACGAUACAGUUAAAACCACAGUGUUGCGGGCUUAUGAGUUGGUGCCUGAAGCUUAUAGGCAGCGCUUCAGGAACCACAAAAAAACGUCUCACCGUACAUUUGUUGAAUUUGCUAGGGACAAAGAGUCUCUGUUUAGUCGUAACACAUGUAACAUUUAUUAUAUUAAAAAUGAACACUGAACAAACUGAACAAAAUAACACAACGACACAUGCCGCUAUACAAAUGAGUGCUGACAGGCAACUACACAUAGACAACAACCCACAAACGCCAAAGGGAAAUGGCUACCUAAAUAUGAUCCCCAAUCAGAGACAACGAUAAACAGCUGCCUCUGAUUGGGAACCACCAUAAACAUACAAAUACCUAGACCUACAAACCCUACACAUACAAAACCCCUAGACAAUACAAAAACUAGCGUAUCCACCCUAGUCACACCCUGACCUAACCAAAAUAUAAAGAAAACAGAUAUAUCUCAGGUCAGGGCGUGACAACAGCCUUUUAUCUGAAAAAAGUAUGUAUGAUGGAAACACAUCGCUGGUGGGAAAAUGCGCAUAUUGUUUUAUGCAGAUUUUAGAAUAUUUGCAUGACAAUCUGUUGCGAAUUGGAUGGAAACCUAGCUAGUGAUACAAAAGGGAAGGAAAAAGGUAAGAAAAAUCCUACACGCAUUCAAAUCUAACCACUAUUCCACUACUUGGCCCUACAGUGCCUUCGGGAAGUACUCACACCCCUUGACUUUUUCCACAUUUUGUUACAAAGUCAACAAUCUAUAUAUUUGUAAAGAUUAAAUAAAAAAUAAAACACUAACCCUUCAGUUAACACACACAGCUUUCUCCACCGAUACUACACAUUCCUCUGUCUGAUGCCCCCCUGCACACUUCUCACAUCUCGGAACCUCCCUCCUACACACUGCUGCAACAUGACCAUAAGCUUGGCAUAUAACAUCUUUAUUUAUUAGAAAUGUUUAUUAAAUUGUUAUUAAAAUUGUUAUUGUUAUUAUUGUUGUUGCAUGGUUGAGAAGGGACCUGCGUAUCCCUGUGUAUCCCCUGCAUACAACUUGAAAUGAAAACACUGUAAUGGAUUCGGGACAAAAAGUCUCACGGGAUAACUGACAAAUCCUAACGUUGUCAGGUAAAGACACUGCAUCCAAACUUAGCAGGACAGACAGUAUUUUCUGUGUUUCACCACGCUCUCCGCCGGAGUCGCAGCAAACGGCGGGCAUCACAGACACCCAGAAUCUUCCAUUUCAGUUGGUCCUCCUCAACACUUAGCGCCACUCCAGUUAUCAAUCCUUUCAAUGGCACUCUGCUCCGGAGAGCAUUAGCAGGUCACAUGACUUGUCCUGAGGCGCGUGGUGCGGAGUGCCCACUCCUUCUGGAAGGAAGAAACACAAAAAGUUACUUUCACCAAUUAAACAUUCCCCAACCUCUUCUCCACCAACCUUGACACCACAUAUAGAUCGGCCAGAAGGCAAGGAUCCGUUCUCUCCAAAACAUCUCACUCACACUGGACCAGAAUCAUCGUUGUCGUCAUCGUGACGAGACC
ensembl:lncRNA